rnacentral:lncRNA from 1 species
UGUGUGUGGGGGUGAUAUUGAAUUCUGUCCUGAGGAGAGUUAAAUUUUCUGAGUGAAUUAAGAAAGAGAAUGCCAAACAGAGGCACAGAACUGUGACAGUAUGCAUUCAAGACACUCUUCAAAUCUUUAUGGAAUUACCAAGGAAGACCACAUUCUGCAGGCUUGGAUUACCAAGGAGCAAGGAGAAAUAAUCAUAUCCUGCAGUUCCAACCCAAGAAAAUCCCACACAUUUCUCAGAAGCCUGGGUGUGUGAAGACAGCAUUGAAUGACACGUUCACUGUGAGUUGAUGGAUUCCUUCCUCAAACUCAGGGGGAGCUGGGGAGACGAGGGGAUGGGAAUUU